AGCCUAUAUGUAUAGCUGAUUUAAGACUUAGACCUUAACCUUUCACCCUAAGCCAAGACUUGUGGACAAAAUUCUAAGGAGUUGCUGGCAGUUUUUAAAAACUAAUGUGGUUUUUUUUUUUUUUUUUUUUUUUUUUUCCAAUGUGCUUUUUAAACUUCCAAGCAUGAUAGCAGCAUUCUGAAAUGACUAGCUCUAACAUCUUUUUUUUUUUUUAAUACAUAGUGAACAUUGAUUUAGAAAAUAAGAAAAUUUCAGAGAGUGGGACAGGGUCUGAGAGCGGAAUAUCUUAAGAUCAAAUUCUUGAUCCGUACUCUACUUACCAAAAUACUGUUUUGUUUAGUAUUAUUCAAAACUUACUGCAUGGAGCUUUUAGUAACUAAAAUUGAGAACUGAAAGGAGAGACUAUGUAUAUCAGUAGUUAAGAGCACUAGCUGCUUUUGCAGAGGAUCUGGGUUUAAUUCCCAGCACUCACGUGCAGGCUCCCAGCCAUCCCAGGGGAUCUGAUGCUCUCUUCUGACCUCUGAUGGCAGUGCAUGUAUAUGGUGCACAGACUUUCAGGCCAAACACUCAUACACAUAAAAUACAUUUUAAAGAUUGAAAGGAAAGCCAGGUAUUGUAGCACAUGAUUUCGAGGCUGAGGCCAGGCUGGGCUAUAGUAGUGAAACCUGUUUCAAAAAAAAACAAACAACAACAACCAAAAAACAGAGGAGUUAUUAAUAGAGAAAAAUUGAAAUGAAUUGGGUGUUUAGGUAGAAAGGAGUUGGGGGACAGACUACAGAAAAGUAAGUGCCUUUUGCAUAAAAUCUAAACAUUCCAUUUUCCCUUCACCUAGUUAAUGUGUUUGCUUAAUAAGAAUUGACACAAAGUUGCAAGCAUUAUUCCAAUCGUAAAAAAGCGUCAUUUCUGCCAAUGGAGUGAGGUCUGGCGUCUCUGUCUCAUACAGCAGAUGGACUUCCCUGCGGAUCUUGCUCUUCUACAUGCCAUCCAGUGUGUCACCACUCCAGCCUCAAGCUCUAACAUCUUGUAGUUGUGUUGUCUCUUCUCCUCUCUGUUCUUUCCUUUUCCCUUCUCACAGGCUGUGCGAAGUUUAACUGUGCAUCUGAGCAGGUGACAUUCAAACCUGGUGGCAGGAGGACCCGAUUUCUGAGUACGCCCUGCUUGGCUCUUUGUGUGUAACUCCUUUACUCCUUCCUUGUCCUUGUUUUUCUGCUGCUUUGGAUCUGAUUUGUCACGCAGUCCAUUUUCAUUUGUCUUUAUAUUUCAUCUACUCAGUGGCUUGGCUGAUUGUUACCCUCAGAAGUUUGGGUCCCCAUUGUUAGGCUGCAAUACAUAGCCAUAUUCUGUGACAUUAGUGGUGGUAUGUACCCAUGAAUCCCAUGUUAGGGAAGGAAAAGCAAAGAUUGCAAGUUUGAGGCCAGCAUGAACUACAUAGCAAGUCUCUUUCUCAAAAUUAAAAUUAAAAAGAAAGACAGUAAGCAUGUUCCUAACCAAUUCUUACUAAAGAUAAAAAUAUGCCUUCUCAAUUAAGCCUGAAUAUUUGCAAGUUGAAUAGAUACUAGAAAUCCCUUUCCAUCAUUACCAACUCCGUGACACUAAGUAGUUCAAAGAACAUUUAAUAUAGUUACCUUGACAAAGCAUUUAUUCUUUUGAAGACCAAAGCUGAAGUCCAUAGCUGAAGAUCUGCAAAUGAAAUUUGUUAUUUUAAUAUUAAUAGAACUCCCCCACUUUCUGUUUAAAAACAAGGUGCAGGAAGCUAGAAGAAUACCUCAAAAAGUACUUACUAUGUAGAGAGCCUGAGUGUGAUCCCUAGAAACUAAGUUAAAGGCUUAGCAUAUUGGCUUGUACUUGUGAUCCUAGUAGCAGCAAAGUUGGAGAAAGCAUCCCAGGUCUCACAAGCAAAUCAGUUUGGCCAUGUUAACAAGCACUGGGCCAAUGAGAGACCCUUCCUCAGAAGAAAACUGGGUGUUGUCAUGAAAACCCACACCUGAGCCUUUUCUCCAACCUCCACAUGUACCAAUACACAAGAGAGCACACACCAAAGAGAAAGGUACAGUGCUGCUGGAAAGAAGGCUGGAGAGUUAGGAGCACUGGCUGCUCUUCCAGUGGACUCAGGUUCAAUUUCCAACACCCAUGUGGCAGCUCACAGCUUUCUACAAUGCCAGUUCAACAUCCUCCUCUGGCCUUAGAACACCACACACAUGAGGUACACAGACAUACACACAGGCAAAACACCCAUAUGUGUAAAAUAAAAAUAAAUUCUAAUUUAAUCACUAAUAAUAAGGUGACACAAGAGCAAAUGCCCUAUCUUGUCUUCUCCAGGUAAGGAAUAAAUAGUCAGUGCCCACUUCCUAGGGCUACUGUGCAAUUUAAAUGUGAUAUUGUUUAUAAAAACAUCUGCUACUUAGUAGGUGGCCAGUAGUGUAUAUUGAAAGAAAAAAAUAUAAAAGAAAAACCUCAAGUAAGAAAAAGAACUUGAUUAGAGUUUGAAUAAUUGGUGAAGGCCUCAAACUUCUGGAGUGGUUAUUAGUGCUUUUAAAUGCAUGUGCUAAAGCCAUCAGUGUUUCUAAGUAUGGCUCAGGGAGGCUUUGGCCUCUUCAUGGUGGGAAGAAUUUGCUCUCUGCUCUGUUCUUGUGCCUUUGUGUAUUAGAUUUAACCUCUGUUUCGCUCACUGACAUAUUUGUCAUCCUUCUUCCCCUGUUCUUUUUUUCCUGAGUUAGUUAUGGAUUGCUUCUGCCUAUAGCCUUCUCUUACCACAUUCCCACACAUGUCAGUGGUCCAGGGCUGGGCUCUUCAACAAAGUGGCUGGAGGGCAUUGUCCAUUUUCGUAGUUUCCAAGCAUGUAUAAUUUGGGUAUGCAUUUAUUAAUAGCUUCUUUUUUUUUUUAAUUAGGGUAGCUUUGACUACAUAUGUUAUUAGCACAUUUGAAUAAGCAUUCAAUUUAUGUGUCCAGCUAGAAAGAUUAAUAAUAAUAGUAAUGAUAAUAGAUUAUUGAUAAUAGAGUAUUAUUAAUAGGGUAUUAAUAAAUGUGACAUGCCAGGCCUGUAAUACACAGCCUGAUAAGUUUG
rnacentral:lncRNA from 1 species